rnacentral:sRNA from 1 species
GGAAGUGAGGGCAAUCUGGCUGCAACACCUGUCACCCUAUUGAUCUCCAGGGUUGAUGCAGCUGAUCUGGCUGGCUAGGCAGGAGUCCCUGUCCUCCUUCACCACUCCAUGUGUGUGCUUCUCAAAGCUGUGUGCUCGAAGAGGCUGACCUUCCCUGAUAGAGGAGGGCCACUCUUGGAUCAGGGGUUUAAUUUAAAAUAGAUGAUAGAUGGAUGGAUGGAUGGAUGGAUAGAUAGAUAGAUAGAUAAAGUGGAGUAGAACAAAGUCCACAUUU